GUUGUAAAGCAUGCUGGACGUAUCAGAAGUGCGAAUGCUGACAUGAGUAACGAUAAUGGGAGUGAAAAACUCCCACGCCGGAAGACCAAGGUUUCCUGUCCCAUGCUAAUCAGGGCAGGGUAAGUCGGCCCCUAAGGCGAGGCAGAAAUGCGUAGUCGAUGGGAAGCAGGUUAAUAUUCCUGCACCAGUGGGUAGUGACGGAUCUCGUGUGUCGUCAGUCCUUAUCGGAUUGAACUGGCGGCGAAGAGGUCCCUGGAAAUAGCUCCCACAUGAGACCGUACCCCAAACCGACACAGGUGGUCAGGUAGAGAAUACUAAGGCGCUUGAGAGAACUCGGGUGAAGGAACUCGGCAAAAUUGUACCGUAACUUCGGGAGAAGGUACGCCUCUGUUUGUGAACACUUCGCGUGGUAAGCAAAUGGAGGCCGCAGUGACCAGGUGGCUGGGACUGUUUAUUAAAAACACAGCACUCUGCAAACUCGUAAGAGGACGUAUAGGGUGUGACACCUGCCCGGUGCCGGAAGGUUAAUUGAUGGGGUUAGUUUUCGGACGAAGCUCUUGAUCGAAGCCCCGGUAAACGGCGGCCGUAACAAUAACGGUCCUAAGGUAGCGAAAUUCCUUGUCGGGUAAGUUCCGACCUGCACGAAUGGUGUAACCAUGGCCACGCUGUCUCCACCCGAGACUCAGUGAAAUUGAAAUCGCAGUGAAGAUGCUGUGUACCCGCACCUAGACGGAAAGACCCCGUGAACCUUUACUACAGCUUGGCACUGAACAUUGAACCUACAUGUGUAGGAUAGGUGGGAGGCUUUGAAGCACAGUCGCUAGAUUGUGUGGAGCCGUCCUUGAAAUACCACCCUUGUAUGUUUGAUGUUCUAACAUUGUUCCCUUAUCGGGAAUGUGGACAGUGUCUGGUGGGUAGUUUGACUGGGGCGGUCUCCUCCCAAAUAGUAACGGAGGAGCACGAAGGUUAGCUAAUCACGGUCGGACAUCGUGAGGUUAGUGCAAUGGCAUAAGCUAGCUUAACUGCGAGACAGACACGUCGAGCAGGUACGAAAGUAGGUCAUAGUGAUCCGGUGGUUCUGUAUGGAAGGGCCAUCGCUCAACGGAUAAAAGGUACUCCGGGGAUAAC
rnacentral:rRNA from 11 species